CUUGGUCAUUUAGAGGAAGUAAAAGUCGUAACAAGGUCUCCGUUGGUGAACCAGCGGAGGGAUCAUUACCGAGUUUACAACUCCCAAACCCCUGUGAACAUACCUAUUGUUGCCUCGGCGGUGCCUGCUCCGGCAGUCCCGCCAGAGGACCCAAACUCUUGUUUUUAUACAGUAUCUUCUGAGUAAAUGAUUAAAUAAAUCAAAACUUUCAACAACGGAUCUCUUGGUUCUGGCAUCGAUGAAGAACGCAGCGAAAUGCGAUAAGUAAUGUGAAUUGCAGAAUUCAGUGAAUCAUCGAAUCUUUGAACGCACAUUGCGCCCGCGAGUAUUCUCGCGGGCAUGCCUGUUCGAGCGUCAUUUCAACCCUCAAGCCCCCGGGCUUGGUGUUGGAGAUCGGCGUGCCCUAGGGCGCGCCGGCUCCGAAAUAUAGUGGCGGUCUCGCUGUAGCUUCCUCUGCGUAGUAGCACACCUCGCACUGGGAAACAGAGUGACCACGCCGUUAAACCCCCCACUUCUGAAAGGUUGACCUCGGAUCAGGUAGGAAUACCCGCUGAACUUAAGCAUAUCAAUAAGCGGAGGAAAAGAAACCAACAGGGAUUGCCCUAGUAACGGCGAGUGAAGCGGCAACAGCUCAAAUUUGAAAUCUGGCCUCCGGGUCCGAAUUGUAAUUUGUAGAGGAUGCUUUUGGUGAGGUGCCUUCCGAGUUCCCUGGAACGGGACGCCAUAGAGGGUGAGAGCCCCGUCUGGUUGGACACCGAUCCUCUGUAAAGCUCCUUCGACGAGUCGAGUAGUUUGGGAAUGCUGCUCUAAAUGGGAGGUAUAUGUCUUCUAAAGCUAAAUAUUGGCCAGAGACCGAUAGCGCACAAGUAGAGUGAUCGAAAGAUGAAAAGCACUUUGAAAAGAGAGUUAAAAAGUACGUGAAAUUGUUGAAAGGGAAGCGCUCAUGACCAGACUUGGGCUUGGUUGAUCAUCCAGGGUUCUCCCUGGUGCACUCUUCCAGUUCAGGCCAGCAUCAGUUCGCUGUGGGGGAUAAAGGCUUCGGGAAUGUGGCUCCUUCGGGAGUGUUAUAGCCCGUUGUGUAAUACCCUGUGGUGGACUGAGGUUCGCGCAUUCGCAAGGAUGCUGGCGUAAUGGUCAUCAGCGACCCGUCUUGAAACACGGACC
rnacentral:rRNA from 1 species